AAAUUGAAGAGUUUGAUCAUGGCUCAGAUUGAACGCUGGCGGCAGGCCUAACACAUGCAAGUCGAACGGUAACAGGAAGAAGCUUGCUUCUUUGCUGACGAGUGGCGGACGGGUGAGUAAUGUCUGGGAAACUGCCUGAUGGAGGGGGAUAACUACUGGAAACGGUAGCUAAUACCGCAUAAUGUCGCAAGACCAAAGAGGGGGACCUUCGGGCCUCUUGCCAUCGGAUGUGCCCAGAUGGGAUUAGCUAGUAGGUGGGGUAACGGCUCACCUAGGCGACGAUCCCUAGCUGGUCUGAGAGGAUGACCAGCCACACUGGAACUGAGACACGGUCCAGACUCCUACGGGAGGCAGCAGUGGGGAAUAUUGCACAAUGGGCGCAAGCCUGAUGCAGCCAUGCCGCGUGUAUGAAGAAGGCCUUCGGGUUGUAAAGUACUUUCAGCGGGGAGGAAGGGAGUAAAGUUAAUACCUUUGCUCAUUGACGUUACCCGCAGAAGAAGCACCGGCUAACUCCGUGCCAGCAGCCGCGGUAAUACGGAGGGUGCAAGCGUUAAUCGGAAUUACUGGGCGUAAAGCGCACGCAGGCGGUUUGUUAAGUCAGAUGUGAAAUCCCCGGGCUCAACCUGGGAACUGCAUCUGAUACUGGCAAGCUUGAGUCUCGUAGAGGGGGGUAGAAUUCCAGGUGUAGCGGUGAAAUGCGUAGAGAUCUGGAGGAAUACCGGUGGCGAAGGCGGCCCCCUGGACGAAGACUGACGCUCAGGUGCGAAAGCGUGGGGAGCAAACAGGAUUAGAUACCCUGGUAGUCCACGCCGUAAACGAUGUCGACUUGGAGGUUGUGCCCUUGAGGCGUGGCUUCCGGAGCUAACGCGUUAAGUCGACCGCCUGGGGAGUACGGCCGCAAGGUUAAAACUCAAAUGAAUUGACGGGGGCCCGCACAAGCGGUGGAGCAUGUGGUUUAAUUCGAUGCAACGCGAAGAACCUUACCUGGUCUUGACAUCCACAGAACUUUCCAGAGAUGGAUUGGUGCCUUCGGGAACUGUGAGACAGGUGCUGCAUGGCUGUCGUCAGCUCGUGUUGUGAAAUGUUGGGUUAAGUCCCGCAACGAGCGCAACCCUUAUCCUUUGUUGCCAGCGGUCCGGCCGGGAACUCAAAGGAGACUGCCAGUGAUAAACUGGAGGAAGGUGGGGAUGACGUCAAGUCAUCAUGGCCCUUACGACCAGGGCUACACACGUGCUACAAUGGCGCAUACAAAGAGAAGCGACCUCGCGAGAGCAAGCGGACCUCAUAAAGUGCGUCGUAGUCCGGAUUGGAGUCUGCAACUCGACUCCAUGAAGUCGGAAUCGCUAGUAAUCGUGGAUCAGAAUGCCACGGUGAAUACGUUCCCGGGCCUUGUACACACCGCCCGUCACACCAUGGGAGUGGGUUGCAAAAGAAGUAGGUAGCUUAACCUUCGGGAGGGCGCUUACCACUUUGUGAUUCAUGACUGGGGUGAAGUCGUAACAAGGUAACCGUAGGGGAACCUGCGGUUGGAUCACCUCCUUACCUUAAAGAA
rnacentral:rRNA from 1 species